rnacentral:piRNA from 1 species
AAGAUGAUGUACUCUGGAAUAAAAU